AAGGGUGUAGCUCUAAUUGGCAGAGCGCCGGAUUCCAAAUCCGAUUGUUGGGAGUUCAAAUCUCCCCACCCUUGCCA
rnacentral:tRNA from 1 species